rnacentral:rRNA from 1 species
UACGUAGGGGGCGAGCGUUGUCCGGAAUCAUUGGGCGUAAAGCGCGUGUAGGCGGCCCGGUAAGUCCGCUGUGAAAGUCCAGGGCUCAACCCUGGGAUGCCGGUGGAAACUGGCGGACUCGAGUCCCGGAGAGGAGAGUGGAAUUCCUGGUGUAGCGGUGAAAUGCGUAGAUAUCAGGAGGAACACCGGUGGCGAAGGCGGCUCUCUGGACGGUGACUGACGCUGAGACGCGAAAGCGUGGGGAGCAAACAGG